GCCUUCGUAGUGUAGUGGUCAGCACGCUCGACGCGUAACCGAGAGUUCCGUUGUUCGAUUCCCGGUGAAGGCG
rnacentral:tRNA from 1 species